rnacentral:rRNA from 1 species
GUAGGUGGCAAGCGUUGUCCGGAAUUAUUGGGCGUAAAGCGCGCGCAGGCGGGGUCCUUUAAGUCUGAUGUGAAAGCCCACGGGCUCAACCGUGGAGGGUCAUUGGAAACUGGGGGACUUGAGUACAGAAGAGGAAAGCGGAAUUCCAAGUGUAGCGGUGAAAUGCGUAGAGAUUUGGAGGAACACCAGUGGCGAAGGCGGCUUUCUGGUCUGUAACUGACGCUGAGGCGCGAAAGCGUGGGGAGCAAACAGGGUUAGAUACCCUGGUAGUCCACGCCGUAAACGAUGAGUGCUAAGUGUUAGGGGGUUUCCGCCCCUUAGUGCUGCAGCUAACGCAUUAAGCACUCCGCCUGGGGAGUACGGCCGCAAAGGCUGA